UAUAUAAAGCAGAGCCGGUUACCGCCCUCGUUCCCUCACAGCUUAAUUACAGUUCACCACAUUUUCCUCUCAGAUUUAAAAAAAAAAAAAAGCAAAAAAGAAAAAGGAGCUCCCUUGUUAAUCAAGGUCACGUAAAAAAGACUUGAGAACCAGCUGGUAAGUUUAUAGUCGAUCGUUUUUUGAAUUUUUUUGGUGAUAGAUCGUUGUUUAAUAGUCGGGUUAUGCAAGUUCGUUUGAUCAAAUUUAGAUAGAUUUGUAGUGAUUACGAGCGUCGAAGUUGUUCUCUCUGCUCUGCUAAUCUUCGCUUUUGAAUUUCUUUUUUUUUUUUUUGUGAUGGAUCAUUGUUUUAUAGUCGAAUUAUGAAAGUUCGUUUGAUCGAAUUUCGAUAGCUUUGGAGUGAUUACGAGCGUCGAAAUUGUUCUCUCUUCUUUGCUAACCGUUGCUUUUGAAUUUUUUUUUUGGGUGAUGGAUGGUUGUUUUAUAGCCGAAUUAUGAAGUUCGUUUGAUCGAAUUUCGAUAACUUUGAAGUGGUUCCCAGCGUUCGAAGUUGUUCUCUCUUCUCUGCUAAUCGUCGGUUUUUGUUUGUUCUGUUGUAAUUUUCGAGUCCUGUUUUGAUCUCCAAAACCGAAUGAGAUUUCUUCUUUAGAAGUUAUUGUUAGUGCUAAUUUAGAAAUUAGAACUACUCUAACUUAUUUAAACAUCUAAUAUCCUUUGAAUUAAGGGUUAGAGAGAGAUUUUUUAAACCCAUACAGGUCUAUAUGUAACCAUGUUUUUUGCAUUGAGAUAUAUAUAUGUAUGUAUAUAUACCUCUUGAUUGUAUUUCAUUUGGAUUUGGUUGGCUGCUGUGAUGCUUUUAAUGAAAUAAAUGUUUUUUUGUUUUUAGAUACAAUUUCUUAAACCUACAUGAAGUCAAUAUCAGUUGCUGGUCUUAUUUGGCCUUCUUUUAAUUAUUAUUAUAUUUAUGUUUAUUAUUCUUUAAUGGUAAUUCACUAAUUUGGGAAUUGUUGAACUUUGAAGCUUCAACCACUGAAUAGUGGGGGUCUUUUUGCAAAUUUCCGAUAUAUAUAGGGAUUCAAGUUAACUGAAAUAUUUCCACAUUUAGUACUUUUAAGUUGUAAUAUUGAAGAUGUUUAUGAUGUUAAUUGCAGAUCAUGGCCAAUGAGCGCUACAUCGAAGAGGCCGAANNNNN
rnacentral:lncRNA from 1 species